GAAUUUACGAUGAUAUUAACAAUAAUAUUGCAGUUGUCGCAAUGGGCGCUGAGGGCGCAACACGAGAUGCCCAACUGGAGCUGCAACUGCCAACUGGACAGUUGUUCGGGACACCCCGUUGCUAGACACUGGGGCACAACUGAAGUCGACUGCAUAGCAUAGAAAUAGUAUACAACUUGAGAUACUCUUUAAAAAUCAUCGUUAGCAAGCUCGCAGAAUUAGUUUCUUUAUGAAAGGGAAAUUUGCAACACAAUUUCCCAUAAACAGCUGAGCAGAAAUCGGAACAGAAACAGAAUUGAAAACAUAACCUGCGUAAUUGUAUUAGUAGUAGUGGGCAAUUCAAAGGGAAAUUUUUAAGAGACAAAGAAAGGAUAUUCCACACAGGCAUAUGACUAGUGAAAGCAAGAGGGAGAUGAAGGGAACAAUUGCCAAUUUACAUGUUGGAGAGAAGAGUCUAGAAUGACAGACGAAUUCGUAAGGAAAUCGUUCACAAAGAGGCGAACAAAUACGAGCUAUAAAUUGGAAUCACAAGUGUGAGAGUGAGAGCUUGCUGAUUGUGCAAAGAAAAGAGAAAAAGCUGCAAUGAAGGGCAUUUCUAAAAGGAAAUUUAUCACACAUGCACACAUACCUAUGGUAUUCCCACUGCGGCUUGGUCAUCAGUUUGCUUUCAUUCUCAUCCUUUAUUUUAUAGCGUAAUGCAUUUAUUUAAUAAAUUCAUAUACAACAUAUAGAGAAAAAAAGCAACUGUGGACAAUGCCGGCAGGCACAUGUAUCUCGGACUUGGACUUGGGAAGUGGAAGUUGAAGUUGGUCUACGACACGCACCAGGAAAUUGGCAGUUGAAUGGACAGUCGCCCGGGCUGCACGGGCCGCCCUGGUCUGGGUGGAUAGUAAACAAUUUUAUGAGCUCGCCUGCAAUAAUCUACGCAAUUUUAUUGACA